rnacentral:misc_RNA from 1 species
GAUGAAGAACGUAGCGAAAUGCGAUAAGUAGUGUGAAUUGCAGAAUUCAGUGAAUCAUCGAAUCUUUGAACGCACAUUGCGCCCCUUGGUAUUCCAUGGGGCAUGCCUGUUCGAGCGUCAUUUCAACCCUCAGGCCCCCAGUGCCUGGUGUUGGGGAUCGGCCCAGCCUUCCUGUAAGGCCGCCGGCCCCGAAAUCUAGUGGCGGUCUCGCUGUAGUCCUCCUCUGCGUAGUAGCACAACCUCGCAGUUGGAACGCGGCGGUGGCCAUGCCGUUAAACACCCCACUUCUGAAAGUUGACCUCGGAUCAGGUAGGAAUACCCGCUGAACUUAAGCAUAUCAAUAAGCGGAGGA